UGUUUCUCUGCAAAUGGAACUCAAAUAUCCUUUGGGUUGACUACACAGAGAACAGAAGAAAAGAACUGGAAGAAACUUGGACCAGAGAUCCUCUCCCUGGAAAGGUUUCUUUCUGGCGGGAUUAUGUGAGAACAAAUGACAUCAGAAAAUAGCACGUCGGGAUACUUAUGCCAGCUCCAUAUGGCCCGGCUUGCUUUCACAGCAAGAAGCAGAAGCUGAAGGAUUUUAUACCAGUCAGCCUGGGCAGAAAAUUACAGAGAAGAGGAGGUGAAGUCAGAAAAAUAAGAUAUGAGAAAGAAAGGCACAAUCCAAGAAUGAUUAGCACUGGACUGGAAAGAGUUUUGAGAUGAAACCUCAGAUUUUUUACCACUCAAGUUCUAAAAAGAGAGACAGUAGUAAUUUUGAAGAAAUGGUGGUGGGAAUUGCUUCAGCAAAAGCUGAAGUCAGUGAAGAAAGUAAGAGGAUUGCAAGGUUUCCUUGCUGGUUCUGCCAAUUGAAAUGCUUUUAUCGUGCUGCUGUUUGGCUAAUUUCCAUGGAGACUCCACCGUAUUUGGCUUUGCCUUUCUCUGCCUUUCAGAGGACUUGGAUCUAGACUGACCAUAGCAUCAGGUAUCUCUCAGAUUUUUGUACAAUUCAUUUCUCAUUUUCCACAUUCAAGUUUGGAGUUAUUCAUUUUUUUAAAGAUUUUAUUUAUUUAUUCAUGAGAAGCACAGAGAGAGAGAGAGAGAGAGAGAGAGAGAGAGGCAGAGACACAGGCAGUGGGAGAAGCAAAGCAGGCUCCACGCAGGUAGCCAGAUGCGGGACUCGAUCCCAGGACUCCAGAAUCACCCCCUGAGCCAAAGCUGAUGCUUAACUGUUGAACCACCCAGGUGUCCCAAGUUUGGAGUUGUUCAAAUAAUUAUUUUGCUAUCUUUGAAACCAUCAAUCUUGUAAUCACUGUACAUUUUCCAUGUGCCCAUCACGUUGGUCAGUACCACUGCAUUGUGUUGGUUUGUUCUUGCCAUGGUCAGAUUGACAUAUAAAUUUGUCAAAGUAAAAUUAUGUUCACCAAAAGAAGAAAGAUUUUCAAAAUUGAUUCAGGUCAUUAGGUCAUUGAUUGGUCUGGCAAGCCUCUGUUGAACUUGCAGUGUAUAAAAAUUUAAUUAUUAUAAUUACAAUAUUAUAAAAGUUUGCAGAUUUUGCUAAUAGCUGUAAUUUCUCAAGUGAGAAAGCUACCGAUUAUUUAUCAUCUCUAAGUAAAUUCAAAUCUCUGGCCAAGGAAAUUAGAGCCUUGUGUUAGGUAGAGUUCCUCCAGGUAAAAUGCUAUGAUCUUUUUAAGAAACUAUGGAACCGGAGGCAGUGGACUAGAGCCAGGCAAAUGC
rnacentral:lncRNA from 1 species